CCUACGGGUGGCAGCAGGGAGGAAGAUUGGUCAAUGGACGAGAGUCGGAACCAGCCAAGUAGCGUGAAGGAUGACGGCCCUAUGGGUUGUAAACUUCGUUUAUAGGGGAAUAAAAUGUUCCACGUGUGGGAUUUUGUAUGUACCAUAUGAAUAAGGAUCGGCUAACGCCGUGCCAGCAGCCGCGGUAAUACGGAGGAUCCGAGCGUUAUCCGGAUUUAUUGGGUUUACAGGGAGCGUAGGUGGAUUGUUAAGGCAGUUGUGAAAGUUUGCGGCUCCACCGUAAAAUUGCAGUUGCAACUGGCAGUCUUGAGUACAGUAGAGGUGGGCGGAAUUCGUGGUGUAGCGGU
rnacentral:rRNA from 1 species